rnacentral:rRNA from 1 species
UACGUAGGGGGCAAGCGUUGUCCGGAUUUACUGGGGGUAAAGGGUGCUCAGGUGGACUUUUAAGUCAGAGGUGAAAUCCCAAAGCUUAACUUUGGAGCUGCCUUUGAUACUGAAAGUCUUGAGUUUGAUAGAGGGCAAUGGAAUAUCUGGUGUAGCAGUGAAAUGCGUAGAUAUCAGAUAGAACACCAAUGGCGAAGGCAGUUGCCUGGCUCAAAACUGACGCUAAAGCACGAAAGUGUGGGGAGCAAACAGG